UACAGAGGUCUCAAGCGUUGUUCGGAUUCAUUGGGCGUAAAGGGUGCGUAGGCGGCGCGGUAAGUCGGGUGUGAAAGUCUCGGGGCUUAACUCCGAAACUGCAUUCGAUACUGCCGUGAUUGAGGACUGGAGAGGAGACUGGAAUUUACGGUGUAGCGGUGAAAUGCGCAGAUAUCAGGAGGAACACCAAUGGCGAAGGCAGCUCGCUGGGACGGUACUGACGCUGAGACGCGAAAGCGUGGGGGAGCAAACAGG
rnacentral:rRNA from 1 species